UUUUGAAAUAUGCUGCUAUAUUUUGUGUGCACAAUUACUAGUUUUCAGACAUCUAUAGCGAGGACGUCCGUGUGGUCGCAUUAUUGAUGAAUGCAUGAAAUGCUUUGCGAUAUAAUUCUGCUCUCUCCUUUGAGUUAUAAGCUGUGUGUUUUUUAUGAAGGGCAGGUUUUUUAAUGACUUGAUAUGGAAGCUAACAUUGAUAUCGACUUCUGACUGAUGGCACGUCAGCAAAAUUUCAUGGCGUGGAAUUUUUUCUUUUUUCUUUUUGCGAAUGUGUUAACGUAUGGAUGAACUAAAUAUAGGAGAGCGUUUGAUGAUGGCGGAUUGGGUUUCAUCCUGCUCACACACACACACACACACACACACACACACCCUGCAUGAUAAAGGUGACCUGAUGGCUUUGAUUUCAGCAGAUUGAUUGAACCAGGAAGAGACAGAGACGGCGAGAGGUCAGCGUUCCCAGACCAUACCAGACCUGCUGACUAUACUGUAAAAAAUUUCCGUAAAAAUACGGUACAAUGUACCAUAUAAAUGUGAAGGAUUUUUUUUCCGUAUUUGUCUUUUACGCCUUUUACGGGUCUUUUACCCUUAUUUUGAAUUACGCGUUGCAUUGUGGGAACAAGAUCCCGGCAGCGCGAAAAGUUUAAGACGCAUCCGCCAUUACACACACGCUGAUGACCGCGGGCAAAGUUGCUUUUUAGAGCCGGAUUUCGGGUGUGUGGAAGCCAUUCUGACACUUAUGUGGUAAAACUUAAACUUAAAAACGAAAAUUAUGUUUUGCUUGAUGUCAAAAAGCUGUUAACGUAACGUUAUUUUUAGUUACCAUCUGGCAUUAGGCAAAUGAAUGUCGGAGCCGUCACGUUUAUCAUUUUAUGCAUAUCGUCACACAUUGAAAGAUUUAGUUAAGACUCGUGGAGGUUCUCGAUUGUAGUGUCCUUGUUGUUGUUGUUGUAAUGGGCUUAUUUAGUUUUAUUUGUCGUGAUGCGGUUUAUUUCUUGCCGAGCGAAUCCGUUAGCAGCUAACCAGUUGUGAUAGUUCUAACGUUAGCUAGCUGCUAGUGUUUAGAGCAAUUUAAUGCCUUCAAACAAAAGCAACCAGAGGAAUCGUCAAGAAAAGUAAACGCCAUUGACUUGCUUGAUUUGAAAGGCAUGAAGACACAACGUGUAUUUUGUAUUCAGACUGUGUGUGAAUAUGCAGUAACUUAACCGGUACAGCUGGAUCAACCAGCACCUUUUCUGCAAAAUGAGGACUUUUCUGCUGUAGUUUAUAUCCCAAACACCACCUGCAUGCGUCUUAUGGGGUUGCUGUCAUUCAAGAAGUUAUUGACCACAUCUCCUAUUGAGGCAGUAAGAUGCAAAAUACCUGAAGAAAAUGGCACUUAUCCUGGAGUUCAUAUAAAGAAAUCUGGAACGAAGGUUGAAAAGGCUGAGAUGAAGGAAAUGUCCCCAUUCCUCCAAAACUGCUGAAGUUCCUGUAUGAACAACUUCGAAAAACCAGCUGGCAUCUUGGGGAGGACGACCUCGCAUCCAGUAUGCUGCUGUGGGUGACGCAGGAUUUCGAACUCAUUCGAUCACUUGUCUCUAUGCUUUUCGAACUGUGGCGACUAAUCGUGCCUUGCUGUGGGUCAAGCUGCUGGAUCUUCAGAUCUUCUUCGAUUUGCUUAAUCCAUCCUUUUUUUGGGUGCAGUGCGCUGGAUUCUCCACUGGGUUAGACGUUUCCUCCAGAGGACUUGUGUGGUAUUCAAUUUGCAUCCAUUCUGCACGUGUCCAAACAUUUCACUCUAUUGACUAGAAGUCUUAAGCAAUUUUUAAGGAUAAAAGCAGAAGCCUUAUCUUCAUUCCAUUUUGUUUGUUUCUGUAUUGUAUCGUAUUCUAUUAGUAUUGCAUUUGAAAAUGUUUUGAAUCUUGACUUUCACAGUUUAUGAAGUUUUUUUUUUUCUCUCAUUUUUUAAAAAUAAUUUUGUGAGCUAUUUGGUUCAACACCAAUGCAAGUACCUGCUCAUGUUUUCUUUUUCUUUUUUUCAUUUCUCCCAUGUUUGUAUUUUGGAAAAGUUAAGACAUUAAACAAGCACUUUAUGGUGCUUUGCACAUUGUUAAAUUGUGUGUGUGUGUGUGUGUGUCUGUAUAUAUCGAUCUUUACCCAUUGAAUGCGUUUUAAGAAUGUUUACAUGAAAUUUUUACAAAAAUAAAACAUGUUCAAUAUGUAUAUAUUGUUCUUGAAUUAUUUGCUACCAAAAUAUAUGCUAUAAAAAUAGAAAUUUCUGUAUAAGGAUUAUCCGUGAAUAGUACAGAAAAUACGGAAUUUUCCAUUUUAGGUUUGACGGAAAUGUCCGUCAAUG